AUGUACAUUUACUUUGAUGACUGCAGACAGAUUUUCAGUCAGUUCGGUGGAGGAACCAGACUGGAAGUUAACUUGGGUCGAGUCGCCCCCACCCUGACGGUGCUGCCCCCCUCCAGCCAGGAACUGCAGCAGGGGAAGGCCACGCUCACGUGUCUGGCCAACAAGGGCUUCCCCUCAGACUGGAGUCUGGCCUGGAAGGUGGACGGCAGCAGCAGCAGCAGCAGCAGCUGGGAGCAGAGCAGGAGCCCCGGGGUGCUGCAGCAGGACGGCCACUACAGCUGGAGCAGCACCCUGAGGCUCACUGCAGACCAGUGGGGGAAGGUGGGCUCUGUGACCUGUGAGGCCACCCAGGGCUCCCAGUCUCCACUCUCAGAGACACUGAGGAGAGACCAGUGUUCCCAGUCCUGACCUGACUCACUGGGACUCUGCUACUGCUCUCACUCUGAUCUCUUCAACUCAGUUUUUUUCUCCCUCUGUCUCUUUAAAUGUUGCAGUAAUGAUGUUUCUUGCUUUUUGAUUUUAAUAUUUCAAGAAAAAUAAAGACGUGUUCAUCAAA